AUAUUCCCGACACUUGAAGUGACCUCCAUGUGAGUCGCAGCUCGAGUCUGGCCGAGGGUGUUUUUGUGGUUGUUUCCAUGUCCAGAGCCCGGCAGCACGUGGUGUAUCCGUAACGGAGGGAUCAAGGAUGCUAGCGGUCCAGAAAAUCUGCCUCGCAGUCACUUAUUCCUCCAAGAACAAAGCCGAGAAAAUUUCAAUGUACUUUAUUGGGAUGGACCAACAGCGGACCUACCAGGACAUGGACGCCCACCUAAACUGACAGGCUGAGCAAGGAGAGCAUUAAUCAGAGAAACAACCACGAGGACCAUGGUAACUCUGGAGGAGCUGCAG